AGGCAAGGCUGAGCAGAUAAGAAAGGGUGCUCUCCGGAAUUUAUGGUGCAGAGCAAUGAUAGAAUGGAUUCCUACAAACAUUUCUCUGUCCAAAAAUUGUUGGCAGCUGGCACAGCUAACUCUUAAGUUCUGGAUGCUACAGUUUCUACCCAAUCUCCAUGGGAUAACCACAUUGGUUUGUUUAGUAAACACUGAGACCAACUCCACCAUCCAGAGGCCUGACAGACAAAUGGCCUGAGACAGGGCUGGGAAAGUUUUGCUUCUGGUUGGGACUUCAGGAAGAGUUUUGUUUUGUUUUGUUUUCCCCCAAGGGAACAAGCCCUUGAAUCCGGGAGGCCAAGGUUGCGGUGAACCGAGAUUGCGCCAUUGCACUCCAGCCUGGGCAACAAGAGCGAAACUCCGUCUCAAAAACAUAAAAAGUAA
ensembl:lncRNA LINC02613 long intergenic non-protein coding RNA 2613